rnacentral:lncRNA from 1 species
UAUCCCCAUUAUCUCCCUGUUCUGUCCCCAUUAUCCCCAUUUUCUCCCCGUUUUCUUCCCAUUAUCCCGAUUUUCUUCCAGUUUUGUCCCCAUUAUCCCUGUUUUCUCCCCAUUCUGUCCCCGUUAUGUCCCCAUUUCAUCCCCAUUUUCUCCCCAUUUCAUCCCCAUUAUCCCCAUUCUCUCCCCGUUGUCUCGCCAUUAUCCCCAUUUUCUCCCCAUUAUCCCCAUUUUCUCCCUGCUUUGUCCUCAUUAUCCCCAUUAUGUCCCCAUUUCAUCCCCAUUUUCUCCCCAGUUCAUCCCCAUUAUUCCCGUUUUCUCCCCAUUAUCCCCAUUUUCUCCCCAUUAUCCCCAUUUUCUCUGUUUUUUCCCUAUUUUCUCCCCAUUAUCCCCAUUUUCUCUCAGUUUUUUCCCCAUUUCGUCCCCAUUAUCCCCAUUUUCUCCCCAUUAUCCCCAUUU